rnacentral:rRNA from 1 species
AAACAUCGCCUCCUGCUUUAUAUAGGAGGUCCAGCCUGCCCAGUGACCAAGUUAAACGGCCGCGGUACCCUAACCGUGCGAAGGUAGCGCAAUCACUUGUUCUUUAAAUGAGGACUAGUAUGAAUGGCAUCACGAGGGUUACACUGUCUCCCACCUCUAAUCAGUGAAACUGAUCUCCCCGUGAAGAAGCGGGGAUAAAACUAUAAGACGAGAAGACCCCAUGGAGCUUCAAACCCGGCAUCAACCAUUAACAUUAAUACCACAUUAAAUAAAUGGACCUGACUGCUGGUUUUAGGUUGGGGUGACCGCGGAGCAUAACAAAACCUCCAUGAUGAACGACCUCCUCUCUAAUCCGAGAGCCACCACUCAAAGAAUCAAAAAAUUGACAUUUAUUGACCCAAACUAUUUUGAUCAACGAACCAAGUUACCCUGGGGAUAACAGCGCAAUCCAUUUCAAGAGCCCCUAUCGACAAAUGGGUUUACGACCUCGAUGUUGGAUCAGGGUAUCCUAGUGGUGCAGCCGCUACUAAAGGUUCGUUUGUUCAACGAUUGAAACCCUACGUGAUCUGA